GCGGUUAUGGGUGUAGACAUAUAUGCUUCCUUUGCAGCGAUUAAUCCUCUGUAGAGAAACAGCCUUGGAUGGAGCCGCCAGGGAAGGCUACUAACGGGGGGCAACUUCUAGCCGUGACCAGGUCCUCCAGAUCGUGAAAAACUUCAACCUGCGCUACUUUUACUUUCCUCAAAAUUUUUUAGCUGCUCUUUGGUUUUAGGGACUUGGACU
rnacentral:misc_RNA from 1 species